rnacentral:lncRNA from 1 species
GAGAAGGAGCACGCGUGGGGUGUGUGGAGAAGGAUGCUGCUAAUAAUGCAGGAGAGGGGUUUAAGGGGAGAAGGAGCACGCGUGGGGUGGGCGGAGAAGGAUGCUGCUAAUAAUGAAGAAGAAGGGGUAUAAGGGGAGAAGGCUCCUCUCCCCUCCCGCUUUGCUCCUUUAAAGCAAGCAGGCUCUGCUUUUCUCCCUCCUCCCCGCUCAUCCCCGGCUUAGUGAGCAGAAAAACUUUGCUGCUAUUUAGCGAGCUGAGUGGGGAGGAGAGAGGGACAGAGAGCCUGCUUGCUUUAAAGGAACCAACCGGACAGGAGCCGCUUACACUGGUAUAAGCGGCUCCUCUCCUUUCCUGCUUUGCUCCUUUAAAGAAGCAGGCUCUCUGUCCCUCUCUCCUCCCCACUCAGCGGCUCUUCUCCCGCUUUGCUGUUUCAAAGCGAGCCACGGAGGAGGGAAGGAAGGGGAACCAUGGAUCCUCUGCUCACGACUGCAGCAGAUCCCCCCCGCCACCCGUAGGCAUUCCCUCCAUAACACGCACAGACAUUUCCCCUUACUUUCUAGGAGGAAAAAAGUGAGUGUUAUGGUGCAAAAAAUACGGUACUUAGUUCCUGAGCCAGGUCACAGGCUCACCCUAUUCAUACACAGACAUACCCUUAAGACAGGAUUUGUGAAUGAAAAGACAAUGGGGAGGCUUUUCCAUUUUCCUUGACCUUGCAGAGAAAUCAUUUGGUCAGUUUGGGAGUCAAAAUGGUUUCAGGGCUGUUUUCCUGUGUUGCUUCAGACAUGUGGUUUAUAUAUUUAUGUACGUGUUUGCUUGGUACAUUUAUGAACACUAUAUAUGUGUGUGUGUAUAUAUAUGACCUUAAAUUUUUUAUUUCAUAACCCUCUCCUUCUCUGACAGGUUGAGAUGCUGCUGGAGGCCUUCUACAAGAUCACCGAGGGCCCUACAGUAGAGGGCAGAAAAGUGGCCAUCUGCCCUUUCUCCACCUUACCAUCGCCUGGAGAAAGUGGUUGAGUACCUCCUCCAAUUUCCUAUUGAGUAUGGGGCACUCAAACUUCUACUGGACUAAGAGAUGUUGGGAAUCUGUGGGGUACACAAAGGAAGGGAUGUAGAAGAGGACAGAGGAAGAACACGUUUAACAAAGCCCAAGGCUUGAGAUGUCUGCAGGCAAGUCAUGUCUUGUUGGGGCCAAGCUGACCUUCUUUGCCCAUAGCUGUACUUGGACAGAGCUGCAGCAAAUGAUCCAGCCGUCCUUCAUCCCUGGCUGAUGCAGCAGGAGAGAGCAGGCUUUACUUCAGCCCUGCAGUCCCAGAGCAAGUGCUGACUGAAGCCCCUUUUUCUAUUGGCAGGGAUGGAGAUAAACAAGCACAAUUAUUGUUGUUGUUGUUGUUGUUAAUUUAUUAUUUGUACCCUACCCAUCUGGCUGAGUUUCCCCAGCCACUCUGGGCGGCUUCCAACAAAGAUUAAAAAUACAUUAAAAUGUCACACAAUAAAAACUUCCCUGAACAGG